UGCCCAGCAGAUCCUAUCCCUACCUCCUCGUGGUACUGGCCGGGGUACGAGCAACCCCGGUGGGUACAUUGAUUGUAUGCUGACAGGAAAGA
rnacentral:ribozyme from 1 species